rnacentral:rRNA from 1 species
AGCUCCAAUAGCGUAUAUUAAAGUUGUUGCAGUUAAAAAGCUCGUAGUUGAAUUCAAAUCAUGCGGUCUUGGUUCGAGUACAUUCUCGUAACUAAGUCUGUGUGUUUUGAAGUUGUGCACAUUUCUGAUGCUUUUAAACGAGUGUCAUUAAUGGCCAACGUGUUUACUUUGAAAAAAUCAGAGUGCUCCAAGCAGGCGUUUGCUUGCAUACUGUUGCAUGGAAUAAUGAAAUAGGACCUCGGUUCUAUUUUGUUGGUUUUCGGAACUGAAGUAAUGAUUAAAAGGGACAGACGGGGGCAUUUGUAUGCUUGGGGGAGAGGUGAAAUUCUGAGAUCCCAGGCAGACAAACAACUGCGAAAGCAUUUGCCAAGAAUGUUUUCAUUAAUCAAGAACGAAAGUA